GCAGUGAACUUGAUUAUUUUCACAAUCGGGAUUGGACGUGUCAACUCCACCAUGAGUAAAGAAGUUCGUCUAAUUCAUGUAAUAAGAUGACCAACAGAAUUUUACAGAUUUUCGUUUUGUCAAUCACAAAGUUGUACAUCAUAUAUUGAUGUCCCUGAAGAAAUACUCUCAUUCUGCUACCAGGUAUGCACAUUUUCCUUCAGGAGAAAUACAAAUCUUUUCCAGAUUUCAAUCAUGACAUGUUCACACCAAUUGAAUUUUCUUACAUCUGACGUAAAGAGGUAGGCGCAGUGAACUUGAUGCUUUUCACAAUCGGGAUUGGACGUGUCAACUCUACCAUGAGUAAAGAGGUUCGUCUAAUAUAUUGAUGUCCCUGAAGAAAUACUCUCAUUCUGCUACCAGGUAUGCACAUUUUCCUUCAGAAGAAAUGCAAAUUCUUUCCAGAUUUCAAUCAUGACUUGUUCACACCAAUUGAAUUUUCUCACAUCUCACGUAAAGAGGUAGGCGCAGUGAACUUGAUGCCUCUCACAAUCGGGAUUGGACGUGUCAAUUCUACCAUGAGUAAACAGGUCCGUCUAAUUCAUGUAAUAAGAUGACCAAGAGAAUUUUACAGAUUUUCGUUUUGAUAAUCACAAAAUUGUCCCUCAUAUAUUGAUGCCUCAGAAGAAAUACUCUCGUCUGCUGCCAGGUAUGCACAUUUUCCUUCAGGAGAAAUGCAAAUUUUUUCCAGAUUUCGAUCAUGAAUUGUUCACACCAAUUGAAUUUUCUCACAUUUG